GUGCUCGCUUUGGCAGCACAUAUACUAAAAUCGGAACGAUACAGAGAAGAUUAGCAUGGCCCCUGUGCAAGGAUGACACCCAGAUGUAAAGACUUCUAAGAAAAAACU
ensembl:snRNA U6 U6 spliceosomal RNA